UACAGAGGUCUCAAGCGUUGUUCGGAUUCAUUGGGCGUAAAGGGUGCGUAGGUGGCGCCGUAAGUCAGGUGUGAAAUUUCGGAGCUUAACUCGAAACUGCAUUUGAUACUGCCGUGCUUGAGGACUGGAGAGGAGACUGGAAUUUACGGUGUAGCGGUGAAAUGCGUAGAUAUCGUAAGGAAGACCAGUGGCGAAGGCGGGUCUCUGGACAGUUCCUGACGCUGAGCACG
rnacentral:rRNA from 1 species